UGGGAAUGGAGUUUGCGAUACUGCUGUACACCUAUGAGAAACUUAGGAGUCCAGUGAUAUUUUGGCAAAGGCAGAGUAGAGAAACUUGUACUAUAAGCUGUUCAUGCUGUAGCUGUCCUGUGAAUAUAUAGAGAUUGUCAACCUCCAAGGUUGCUAUGUUUUUCAGCAAUCAUUCUGUGCCAAGCAACAUGAUAGAGGGUUGUUACAUUCAGAAUCUGUGUCCUAGGUGAUCCAUACUGUAUAACAGGAGUCCCUGAAUAGUAUAGCAAGACAGCAGAUGACAGCGGCUGCUUUAGUUUGGCUCAUCUUAGUCCCUUAAUGGUUCAGUUUCUCAUGUCUUUCUUUCCCUGCCAAACUUAACCGUAAUAGUAACAUAAACAUAAUGCAGAAUUUCUGAUGUUUAUAAGCAGUCCAGUAAUUAAGCUACCUCUGGUUUUAGAAUUGCUAGGUGCUUCAGAGUAGCCCGGUGGGUCUCUCUGAGACAUCAGCAUCAUUGUUACCAGAUGGCAAUAAAUCUUUUCUUUCUGUCUGAGACUCUGAGCCCAGUCUCCGAGGACUCAGCUGCUCAGCCUGCUGCGGCUGUAGCUUGUCUGAGACAUUUUGGGGAAACACUGCCAAUUCAGUGCCAUUUAUCUCCCUCCUUUCUGGGAGCUGUAGAAGGUGUUGCUUAUUACUUCACAGUAUAUGUCAGUUGGAGUGACAGCCUCAUAAGACCAGGAGGAUACCUCUUGUGUAUCACCUCUGUUUGUGACCAUUGUUUCUCAUUGUGGGAUAUACAGCUUCAUUUCUGUGAAGAUUCAAUCUCACAUACCACAGAGGACACAGACCUUGGUCCCCUUGGAGCACCAGCAGGACAAGAAAGAGAUUGUUGGCCUAUAUCGACUGUAAGUGCAGUGUUGGAUGACUAUCUCAGAUGUGGACGCCUCUAAGGUCAAUAUUAUCAUCUGGUCAGAUGAGUUCCUUCCUCUCAUGAACAAAUAAAAUAGCACUCAUUUAAAUUUCCUUAUUCA
ensembl:lncRNA